rnacentral:rRNA from 1 species
UACGUAGGGUGCAAGCGUUAAUCGGAAUUACUGGGCGUAAAGCGUGCGCAGGCGGUUUUGUAAGUCUGACGUGAAAUCCCCGGGCUCAACCUGGGAAUUGCGUUGGAGACUGCAAGGCUAGAAUCUGGCAGAGGGGGGUAGAAUUCCACGUGUAGCAGUGAAAUGCGUAGAGAUGUGGAGGAACACCGAUGGCGAAGGCAGCCCCCUGGGUCAAGAUUGACGCUCAUGCACGAAAGCGUGGGGAGCAAAGAGG